AUGUACAUGAGGGUCCCUGCUCAGCUCCUGGAGCUCCUGCUGCUCUGGCUCCCAGGUGCCAUAUGUGAUGUCCAGAUGACCCAGUCUCCAUCCUCCCUGUCUGCAUCUCUAGGAAGACAGAUCAACAUCACUUGCUGGACAAGUCAGGGCAUUAGCAGUUGGUUAGCCUGGUGUCAACAGAAACCGGGAAAAGCUCCUAAGCUUUUGAUCUGUAGUGCAUCCACUAUACAACAGUCGUACAACACUCGAGUUCCUUUGAGAUUCAGUGGCAGUGUGUCUGGGGAAGAUUUUACUCUCAUCGUAAGCAGUCUGGAGCCUGAAGAUGUCGCAACUUAUUACUGUAAACAGCAUAGCAGUAUCCCUCCCGCAGUGUUACAAGUCAUGACAUAG